GUCAUAGCUCAGUGGUAGAGCAUCUGGCAAGUGGUCCAAGGUUCAGUCCCUGGGAUCUCCA
rnacentral:tRNA from 1 species